rfam:Larimichthys crocea isolate SSNF unplaced genomic scaffold scaffold388, whole genome shotgun sequence.
AAAAAGGUCCUUUUAAGGGCCACACACUUAUUACUUAAAGAGCUG